rnacentral:rRNA from 1 species
GAUGAACGCUGGCGGCGUGCCUAAUACAUGCAAGUCGAGCGAAUGGAUUAAGAGCUUGCCCUUAUGAAGUUAGCGGCGGACGGGUGAGUAACACGUGGGUAACCUGCCCAUAAGACUGGGAUAACUCCGGGAAACCGGGGCUAAUACCGGAUAACAUUUUGAACCGCAUGGUUCGAAAUUGAAAGGCGGCUUCGGCUGUCACUUAUGGAUGGACCCGCGUCGCAUUAGCUAGUUGGUGAGGUAACGGCUCACCAAGGCAACGAUGCGUAGCCGACCUGAGAGGGUGAUCGGCCACACUGGGACGGGGACAAGGCCCAGAGUCCUACGGGAGGCAGCAGUAGGGAAUCUUCCGCAAUGGACGAAAGUCUGACGGAGCAACGCCGCGUGAGUGAUGAAGGCUUUCGGGUCGUAAAACUCUGUUGUUAGGGAAGAACAAGUGCUAGUUGAAUAAGCUGGCACCUUGACGGUACCUAACCAGAAAGCCACGGCUAACUACGUGCCAGCCGCCGCCGUAA